rnacentral:lncRNA from 1 species
AGCAAUUUUUUCUUCUUUAUUUUUGUUAAAUAAGAUUCCAGAAAGUAUAGUGCAAACACUCAGUAGAAAAGUUGCAAUUAAGAAAUGUACAUUCACAUUUAACAUUUCAGUCCAUUCACUGGUUUUUGCUUUUUAAAUAAAAAUAGGACAAAUUAUUCAAUUACUUGUCUCAAUUUAACAAUCUUGGAAAAGACUGGAAGGUGCUCUACAGUGUUCAGUUGACGUAAAAAUAGACCCGUAUUGAUUAUACAAAUCUAUCACGAGAGGUUCCCCAGUGAUAUUGAGUUGGUGUCCUUCUGGAACAGACAUCUGGUUUCCGCGUCUAAAGAAGCACUCUCAGCAAGGUCUACUGAUGGGAGAACGUGUCACCCAGGCCCACUCUGUGCUCCCAGGCGGGACACGGAGGGACACAGGGGUUCACACAAACCCUUCUCAGACAAUCAAGAAAGUCCAAGCGGGGGCUUUGGGUUUACCUUAAAUGAGAGAUGGUUGUAAUUGUUACAUUAUCUCUGCUUGUGCAAGGCGGUGUGCAAUCAGUGUGAAGGAGAGAUGGAGGAAGGGGGCGGGGCUCUGCAGGUGUGCAGGAGAUGCAAGGCUCAGGGUCCAGGAUCCGCCGUGGCGGGACGCUCUGCGGCCAGCCGGCAGACGACCCGUGGUGGCCUGGGCCUGUCCCUUUGCACAUGCUGCAUGUGUUGGAAUCCAAACGAAGUUUCACACACUUGGGAAUCUCACAGCAUGCGAUGCUGAGUGCGUGUGGCUUGCGGGGCCGCAGUUUCCAACGGGGAGAAAGGCAGGACUGCAAGCCUCUCUGGGGCUGAUGCCCGGGGAGCGCCCUACGGGCAGGUGCAAGAGGCCGUGGAGGCUUCCUCGGGACUCCCGGAACGUGGGAGUGGUCCCCUGAGACUGAGAUCUGCCCUGGGUGUCCUCCUGUCCCCAGGAAGGGACACUACACCACGUGAUGAGGACAUUGGCCGGCUCUGGCCAGGAGUUGGGGGCUGGCUUGGCUCCUUGUGAGGAGAGAGGCGUGUGCAGCUUGGGGGUUCCAGGGGGCCUGGCUCUCCCCCUGGCUGAUGUCAGAGAGGCCUUACAGGAAGAGACAGGACGACUGUGCUCCUGGCCGAGGGAGAGGCUGUUUACUAAGACACGAUGGCAGGUGGUACUGCGGACAUGGCUUCAGGACAGAAAGUGUAACAAGACAGGGCGAGGUGGGCUCCUUUGGGCCCCCACUGUGUCUCUGCUGGGGAUCAGCUGUUCAAGCAGAGGCAGGGCUCAGCCGCGAGCACAUGCCCUGUUCUCAUCUCGCCACGUGAGGCCUGGGUGAGGAUGACCUUGUGCCUGGGCACAUCCCUGGAUGGGCUGUGGGGCAAGCCCCCGGCCUGAGGACCCACCUGGCUGCUCAGAACCAACCUGCCAGGCACCCCCGCCACUUGUGCGUGCACGGGCUAAGGGCUCCAUCAACACCAACACUUCACUGAGUUCAUGGUUAGCUACGAGGCGCCCAAGAGAACGGACACCCAGGGGCUUGGGAUGGAUGGGACCCGGAUGCCUCCUGGUCCUGCGCUCAGUGCUGUGCAACUUUGUCCAAGUCUGUCACCUCUCUGAGCCUCUGAUUCCUCACAGACAACGUGGGGCGUGUAAGCAGGCCUCCCUCUGCAGACUGUCUGGAGGAGAGCGGGCUCGAGGCCGGGAAGGCGCUCCUUGCGGUCACAGGCAAAGCCCAUCAGAGUCAUCUGCUCACCAAAGCCCCCACAGGCCUCCCCUGCGCGU